rnacentral:rRNA from 1 species
GAUGAACGCUGGCGGCGUGCCUAAUACAUGCAAGUCGAGCGAAUGGAUUAAGAGCUUGCUCUUAUGAAGUUAACGGCGGACGGGUGAGUAACACGUGGGUAACCUGCCCAUAAGACUGGGAUAACUCCGGGAAACCGGGGCUAAUACCGGAUAACAUUUUGAACCGCAUGGUUCGAAAUUGAAAGGCGGCUUCGGCUGUCACUUAUGGAUGGACCCGCGUCGCAUUAGCUAGUUGGUGAGGUAACGGCCCACCAAGGCAACGAUGCGUAGCCGACCUGAGAGGGUGAUCGGCCACACUGGGACUGAGACACGGCCCUGACUCCUACGGGAGGCAGCAGUAGGGAAUCUUCCGCAAUGGACGAAAGUCUGACGGAGCAACGCCGCGUGAGUGAUGAAGGCUUUCGGGUCGUAAAACUCUGUUGUUAGGGAAGAACAAGUGCUAGUUGAAUAAGCUGGCACCUUGACGGUACCUAACCAGAAAGCCACGGCUAACUACGUGCCAGCCGCCGCUGUAA